GCUUGCCUAAUUUUUCCCUUUUAGCUUUAUAAACAAACCCCUUUCACCAUUUCCGGUAAUUGAAAAAGUAAACAAACGAGGUUUUGUUUUUUCUUUAAAUGGGUGUCUUGCUGCUUCUCCCACAACCCAAUUCAUAUGUAAAAGUCUUUCAAAUUCAAAAGCUCCAGGGGAGGUGAGGACGCCUAAGGACUUAGAUGCGGGAGCUGGCGCGUCUGGCCGACUUUCGCUUUCAGCGAGCCGAGCCGAGCCGAGCCCAGCCCAGCCGAGCCGAGCUGUCUACACAGGGCGGUGGCGGCGCCGCAUAAAAUGGCGACCCGAGCGUCACCAAGAACCGGUUAACAGGCACCGAAUUAACAAGCUUGCGUUUUGAACGAAAUUAGGACACUGAAACUAUAAAUGGACCUGUAUGGAUUCCAAGCAGAAAUAUCAGAUCCUCAUCUAGAAGAGCUACAGUCAUGCUUGCAGAAAAAGAGACUAACAAACCAAGUGGAGGAACACCAACCAGCCCUGUCAUGCCUGAUGUCAGUGACUGGCAGAGAGAGAGGUCAGGACAGGGGCCUUGAAGGAAACUUUGAGACGAACAUGCUCGGGUCUGAAGUGGGCAUGCAAAUCCCACCUCCAGAGGCGGCCUUUCAGGGAAGCAAAGCAGCACGUGACCAUUUUCCAAUAUCAUCCCAGCCCAAAGGACACUUGAAUCUCCGUUAUUCUGAACCGAGACCUACAAAUCCAUCUCCAGUUUGUGUGUCUGCAGAUGGGGACAGACACUCUGAAAAGCUUAGCAAGUAUUUUUUCUCCUAUUAAGACAUCAAGUUGCCAAUAAUCUAAGGACUUGUAACUAGAGGCCAUUAGACAGAAAAUAUAAAUACAAGCAAAAGUUUCCAGGCUUGUUGGGCAGAAACAAAGGUGGACUAUAAAUCGAAGGAAGAUGAAUUCCCAAAACAGAAAGACUGUUCUGCCUCAGGGGAAGCGGGUUUGGAGAACCAGUUCAAAUGACAGCCUACAUUUGGGCAUUGGCUCAGCUGCGAGAGAGCUGAGGGGCAGGCAUGAGAAGGGUUAAGAGGAACUGGGCGUUGUAUGGGGGAGGGCCAUGGGGCCAUUCUCCAUUUUGUCUUGUGAAGUUAUCUAAAGCAAUUUAGAUAUUGAAA